UGAGUGAAUAAAGUAAGCAGUUUACAAUGUAAAGUCAAAAGAAGGAAGCACAUUGUAUCACAUGGUACAUGUCUUAAAUAAAACAUAGUGUAGAAAUCAUAUCAUGCAACAAAUACUUUGACAUAGGUGAAAGGGAUUGCAAGGGGCUGAUGUAUUUUCCUGCCUGAACACUUGAUUGCACAAGUAUGCUUCUUAUCAAAUACACACAAGUUGUAGACUGUGUAAACAUACUAUAGCCACUCAGGUGUUCAAACAUUACCAAAUAUAGGGUAGUUACAUUGUGUAUGACAUCACAAUGGAAUCUAUUUGUUUACCAUGCUAUAUAAGUUGUAGUACUACCCAUAAUAAACUGAACUUGUUUUGCAACACACAAGCCUACAGUGUCGUUCAUUGCAAGUUCCCUGAUCAGCACGCCUGGAGAGAUGAUAUCAGAUGGUUUACCGUUGCAUCAAGUAUAAGACGAGCCGGCUCGCAGCUGCAAGGACAGUGCAGGGAUAGCACAGUGGAGUUUAGUGGCCCUAACAGUUUUCUGGUGUCAGAAGUGGGAUGGCUGGAAAUCCAGAGGUAAGUAGAAUCACUGUCUGAACUGACGGUGUUUUCUCUUACCUUUGGCUCUUUCCGAUUGACCGAUUCCUUAGUUUAAAUAAGUGUCUCAUGUAUGGUUGAGACUGUCUCAUGUAUGGUUGAGACAAGGGCAUGAUUACCAGUUUAAAUAAGUGUCUCAUGUAUGGUUGAGACUGUCUCAUGUAUGGUUGAGACAAGGGCAUGAUUAGCAGCUUAAAGUGUCUCAUGUAUGGUUGAGACUGUCUCAUGUAUGGUUGAGACGGGUUAUAGAGAUCCCAUGGUAGUAUAGUAAAAUAGGGAUACUCAGGUUGUGCACGGAGACCAUUUCUUACUGACUGAUUCAUCUUUCCAUGCGUAUUAUUGUCUUGUCUUGUUUGUGUAUUUGUGUAUUUGUGUUUUAAAAUAUAUCUGUGAACAGUUGCAGCGUUAAGAGUGAUCACGAGUUGCUAACGGGUAUUGUUGGGACCUUGAUCUCAGUUCAGCCCUGGCUUCUCUGUUUCGUUGCAAUCGUACAUGACACGUUCUUUGAUAAGAAUUUAAGGAGCCGACCCAUCCAUUUCGCCCAGGCGAUCCUGUUGUCGUUCGACAGCUCCAUCGCUAUCGAAAAGGGGGAUUCCCAUUUGGCCCACGAGUCACAGUUAUUGCCAUCACACGGACAGCAGUCCUCACCGAUGCCAGCGACCAUUGGAUCCACGCUUCACGAGUGAAACUCGCGCCAACACUUCCAACGCCGGAACUGAGUAAAGCUGACAACACGGAACAUGACACCACCACCAAAUCCGUCACAGAAGGACCCGAAGAUGACGUCUCAGGACCUCACACCCCUACCACCGAUGAUGAUGAGGAAGUCGACAAAAUAUGCACUAUGGUGCAUAAUCGGCACUUUCCUUUUUCUAUUUUUCCCGAUUAUGAUAAUCCUUAACUGCAUAUGUUACCCAAACCCUCACAGCCCUUUGGGAUCAGUUUGUUACCAGUUUUUCAAGAGCAAUACAAGACUCCAUCGCCAUGAACGAUCAAACCCCAUCGCCACCUUAGGAGGUCAGUCUACUAAUGAACGACAAGUUGCAAUCAAACAAAGUGAUGGCACUACCACCUUCUGUUAUAACCCCGUUGGCAAAAAAAUCUUAGCUCAGAUCGGUGUCACCUUAUUGAUUGUCUUAAUUUUUGUUUCAUUUCUUUUCUGCUGUAUAAUUCCCUAUAUCAGGAAAUUAACUUCAUCUUUAAUUACUUCUUCUGAGGGCUUGCAACUUAAGCUUAUUCAUGCUGCUCGCGUAUAGUCACUUAUGUGAC